rnacentral:rRNA from 1 species
CUGUAAGACUGGGAUAACUCCGGGAAACCGGGGCUAAUACCGGAUGGUUGUUUGAACCGCAUGGUUCAAACAUAAAAGGUGGCUUCGGCUACCACUUACAGAUGGACCCGCGGCGCAUUAGCUAGUUGGUGAGGUAACGGCUCACCAAGGCAACGAUGCGUAGCCGACCUGAGAGGGUGAUCGGCCACACUGGGACUGAGACACGGCCCAGACUCCUACGGGAGGCAGCAGUGGUCAUAGC